GGCACGACUCGCCGGGGUUGGCGGCGGCGCCAUUUUGAACUGGCUGAGGGUCGGAGGCGGCGGCUGCCGAGCAGGGUUCCGCGUCCCCGGAGGGAGAACCCGCGAGGAAGGAGCGGAUAUGGCCGCGAAUAGGAACUUGAAGCAAGUGCGGAUCGAAAACAGCUCCCCAGCGGCGCCGCUGGGAAUGGUGGGGGGUGGCGGCGGCGGCAACCUGAAAGGAUUGCGCGGCCUAGAAGCGGAGAGUGAGGCGGCGGCGGCCAUGGCUCUGGCACCGAGCAAAGAAGGUGGCGGAGAUGAGGAGCAGGAGGUUGGGUUCACCAUCGAUAUCAAGAGCUUUCUCAAACCUGGCGAGAAGAGCUACACGCAGCGUUGCCGGCUGUUCGUGGGGAAUCUGCCUACUGAUAUCACCGAGGAGGAUUUCAAGCGCCUUUUCGAGCGCUACGGGGAGCCCAGCGAGGUCUUCAUCAAUCGGGACCGUGGCUUCGGCUUCAUCCGCCUGGAAUCUAGGACCCUGGCUGAAAUAGCAAAGGCAGAACUUGAUGGUACUAUUUUGAAGAGCAGACCACUUCGAAUUCGAUUUGCUACCCAUGGAGCUGCCUUAACUGUGAAGAAUUUGUCACCUGUGGUUUCCAAUGAGCUCCUGGAACAAGCAUUCUCACAAUUCGGGCCAGUGGAAAGAGCAGUUGUUGUAGUGGAUGAUCGUGGCAGAGCUACAGGGAAGGGUUUUGUAGAGUUUGCAGCAAAACCUCCAGCACGGAAAGCUCUAGAAAGAUGCAGUGAUGGGGCAUUCUUGCUUACAACAACACCUCGACCUGUUGUUGUAGAACCAAUGGAGCAAUUUGAUGAUGAGGAUGGACUCCCUGAGAAGCUAAUGCAAAAAACACAACAGUACCACAAGGAAAGAGAACAGCCUCCACGCUUUGCUCAGCCUGGAACAUUUGAGUUUGAGUAUGCUUCGCGGUGGAAGGCUCUUGAUGAGAUGGAAAAGCAGCAGCGUGAACAGGUUGACAGGAAUAUUAGAGAAGCCAAAGAGAAACUUGAGGCAGAAAUGGAAGCAGCUAGACAUGAGCAUCAGCUAAUGCUGAUGAGGCAAGAUCUCAUGCGUCGUCAAGAAGAAUUGAGGCGCUUGGAAGAACUUCGAAAUCAAGAACUUCAAAAACGCAAGCAGAUACAAUUGAGACAUGAAGAAGAACACAGACGUCGUGAAGAAGAGAUGCUACGCCAGAGGGAACAGGAAGAGUUACGACGACAGCAGGAGGGAGGAUUUAAGCCAAAUUUCAUGGAUAAUAGAGAACAGGAAAUGAGAAUGGGUGAUAUGGGUCCUCGUGGAGCAAUAAACAUGGGAGAUGCGUUUAGCCCAGCACCUGCUGGUAACCAAGGCCCUCCUCCAAUGAUGGGUAUGAAUAUGAACAACAGAGGAACUUUACCUGGCCCUGCAAUGGGUCCUGGUCCUUCCAUGGGACCAGAAGGAGCUGCAAAUAUGGGAACACCAAUGAUGCCAGAUAAUGGAACAGUGCACACUCUUACGGCUUCAGAGAUUUUAGCCCCACAAAGAUAAUCAGUUCUGCUGUCAUUAUUUUGGAAGAGGAGGUUAGGACACUGGCCUAACUUGGCACCUGCUGCAAAAAUGACAGGUAAGCCUGAACAAAUGCAAACAUGAACACUGCUCCAUGGAUCAUCUCGGGUUCCCUUUGGAAACCCCAAAUAAGUGGCCACAAGGGAUUGUGUGUUUUCCUGAGAACAGCUCGGCAUUGGAGUUCUUCUUUCUGUGUGCUGGAUAGUGGUUCUGCUACUCCCAAAAUCAUACCUGUGUCUGCUGGUGCAAAAUGCUGUAUGGUCACUUCAGUGGAAGUCAAAAUUUACCUGUGCUGCUCUUGUAUGUUGCUAGGUAAUUUUUAAAGUAGACCUAAAAUAAAGGGGGAAUGGGGGAAGCUCUUUGUUACAUUAGCCACCAAAAAUCCUAUUAAUUAAAAAAUGAAAACCAGAAAACUCAACCAAACCACAAAACCUGUUCUGUCAGUCAAACUGGUGAAGCUGCCACACAUCUGUGUGCAAGGUAAAUGUGAAGUGUUCUUCAGUGUUGUAGUGUUCCUGCUGUUCCUGAGAACUGAGAGCUGUUCCUGCUCUGAAUUAGCACUGGCAGCCUGGAGCCUGUCCCACACAGCCAGUCUCUGCAGGGAGGUAUCCUGCUACGCUGAGUAUGCAUUAACUUGAGAUAGGUGCACGUAGGAGCUGGUUUUCAAUUUUCCUUCAUAAUGAUCCAGUAUGCACAGUAUCACUCAGUUUGUGUCUGAUGGCCUCUCUUCUCUCCACAACAGGCAUGUUAAUCAUAUUGUUAGCCUUUUAGACUAUUUCAGAUUAAUUUUGCUUGACACCAUACCCACUUUAAUUUAAAGAAGAACUUCAUAAUAUGAAUCAAAAUUCAGUCUUUUACUUUGAAAACAACUUUCUGUUGUGUUCCAGCUCACUCUUAGACAUCACUUUUUUCAUCACUGGCUGCUUGGAUACAUUCAACUCUAACAAAUUAAUUACUGCUAAUCAUAAACAGUAGAGUUUAUAUAGGUUUAUGUAGGGUAGAGAGGUUGAACUGAUCUUCCAAGAGAGAGAAUUGUGAAUAAAUAGUGCAGGGGCACAUUGCUAGUAAAAACCAUUCACAUUUUAAUACUCUAGCAGUCUUUACUGGGUGGUUUUAGAGCCUGUCAUGAGAAAUAUACUGUAUUUAUUUGGCUCCAGCUUUGUCACUAGAAUCUACUGAUUUCCAAGAACAUGGCUCACUGCUUUCUCUUAGUAAAUCUGGGUGACCAAGAAAGAGAAAGUAAUAUACAUGGUCAGUUACAGAAACUGCACAGACAAUGUUAGGCCUUGAUGCUUUAGCUUUAUUCAAGGGAGCAUAGGGGAAAGGGAGAAACUAAUUAUUGUUUUUUUUGUAUUAAAAUACAGACUGAAAGAUGUGAAAUUUGUAAUAUUAGCCUUCCUGUUAAAUGGGUACAUACAUAUCAAUAGCUACAUUAUAGCAACUUCACCAUGUUGAGGUCAUGUCUUGGGACAAAAACGCUUGUCCAGGUGAUGGUUCCAGCCAGCUCCCUAUGACUGAAAGUUCAUCACUACAGCUGUUACUGCAUUUGACUUUCUAAAUGAUUGUAGUAUCAACACAUGCCAAGUUGUAUCUCUAGUUAGAAAGGGUUAGUAGGCUGUGCUCUGUCAUAUGUGCUUUAGGAAGAAAGUAUCUAUCUUGCUACAGAAUAGAUAACUGAACUUUUGAAAUCUGAUAGCAAGCUUCACCAUGGGUGGGACUGAAGAUAAAAAGGAACCAAAUGGGAGAAUUGAUUUAAUAGAACUCAUACAUUAAAUUGUGCUAACUUUAAAACCAUAUUUUUUCUGACUGCAAGUCUCAGCCUGUUUUAAAACUGUGUCUGAUAAGGUAAAUGUUACCUUUAUUGUGUUUGUGGUUGUGUGUUGUAAUUUACAUGUAUGUCACCUCUUGAGUUGCUUUUUGGGACUGUUCCUAAAGUGAAGCUAGCCUGAAAGGUGCAACCUGUGUCUGGCUUUCCAAAGGAAUUCUUUCUGUAAUAAAUACUCUGCAGGGUAUGCUAAGUUUUGUGAUCAUCAAAUAGAACCUCAAGAUGUUGGAAAAUUGUUUUAACAAGUCUUUACUUGAGAGUAUGGGGAGUUCUUCACCCCUUUGUGCUAUUGUAAUCAGGACCUUUCCAGGCAGUCUUAUCUGUAGACAUUUCAUUAGGGCUCUCAAGCUCUCCAACUUGUUUCUGUGCCUGAGUAAGGGAUUAUGCUAAGCCUGUCAAAUAUUGCAGUGCUCACAUCUUGUAAGUCGGAGGCAUUUAUGGAGAAGAGGUAAUUUUAAUUCUGGGAGGAAGGAAUGUGUCUACAAGUGAGAGCUAUUUUGAAGCCUGAAUGGCUGGGGCAUGGAGCUGUUGAAUUUUAAACACUUCAGAUACUUUCCUUGCAUGUGUACUCUAUAAGAAGACACACACUGCAAGAUGGAUACCCUUAUUAGGUCUUCUAUUUAGUCAUUUUUAAUAGAAUGACAGUAAUUCAUUAAUAAUUAGUAAAUAUAGUAGGAAAAAAUAUUGACUAGCUGUUCUUCCAACUGCAAAUACAAGCAGAUCUAUUGCAGAAGUUGUAAAAUUAUCCAAGUCCUUAACUUUUGCAUCAAUUUCUAAUGCUUGUAGUAUUAAAACUGUAUUUUAAUGAUACUUGUAUGUUGUGAGAUGUUACUGUAAAGUGGAACAUUUUACUCCAGCUCAAUUUAGUUGUAUUAUUUUGAUAGAUAAUUUUGCCCCUGAUUAAUAACAUCAGUGCAACAACAUGCUGCAGAAAGAGAAGGAGACGGCAUGAGAGCUGUUAGUUCUCAAGUGUCACUAAUCACUUGGUGUUGUGUGCAGGGAUUCUGAUCAUUUUAGUGGCACUAAUAUUAAAAGGAUGAAAUGCCACUUUCACCACGUGCCUUGGCAAGCCUAAAAGACAACAUGUGGAAUGUCUUCUGUCACAUGGAAUACAUAUGUUUUAGAAAACCUCCAAAGAGGAAUGACUUGGCUCUUUGGAGCAGAACUGCAAUUAAUCUACUCCAAGAAAAAUAUUAAAAUCUAGGAACUUCUUAAUGUUCUUGGAACAGUUGUUGUUUAACUGCUGAGGUAGUAAAAAUUUAAAUAAAAUCUGUGGAGAAACAACUAAAUGGUAAGUUUGGGUAGAGAAUAAAUGGAUUUUUUUCUGGUAAUGGGAAGUUUUAUUAUGGUUUGUUACUUCAUAUAUAAUGGGUUUUUGAAAAAAGCAGCUUUUACUGUGUUUUCUCUUUUGCUUGAAAUGCCAGUUAUUUACUGUCUCUUUAUUUUUUAGGUUACUAUUAAAAUCUUAAAAUGCAGAUGAAGACUGGCUUGUGCAGAAUCCUUUUGCUAUCUUAUGCAGACAAAAGGGAAUCCUAAACCAGAUUUUAGUACAAGGUUUCAAUGAAAGCCACCGGUGGCUGCCCACCCUCAGAACUGAAGAUGGCUGUUACAUUGUGAUGUAUAAAAUGCUGCUCUGCACCUCUGGAGUUACAAGGACCAUCCGGACAGGCCAGGCCUGUGAGACCUGAAGGAAAAAGACUGUUUGAAAUAAUGGAAAGGGACCCAGCCUGGAGGUGGUGUGUUCCCCAGCAAUACCUCAGUUUGGAAAAGACAUGAGAAGAAUGUGAAUAGAUCUGCCUGAGAGCUCCAAGACCUCUUCCUACAUGAGGAGACAAGUUAUAGCUUUUGUGAUGUUACUGUCUUCAGCCUCUGGCACAGGUGGUGCCAGUCCAGCAUUUCACAGUAAAGCUGAUGUUGGCUUACUUUGAUGUGUAACUGGAGGUACUGACGCCCUUUUCAUCUAGACUGCACUCGAAGUAGAUUUUCUUUCUAGAAACAGUAGUGUUAAGGGGAAUGGGUGUCAGUAAAAGGAUUAAAGUUUGUACAUUCUACAAGAAUAAUAAAGAGUAAAUGAUAUAUUAAUUUACUGCUUCUUGGUUUAAAUGACUGCUGUUGGACUUUAAAAAAGUAAGAAAAUAUUUUCAAGCUCUACAAUAUAUGAUAACAGGGAAGUGGUAGGGUUUAAAGAAGAAGCAGUAAUGUGGAUUGUGUUUAUGUUACAGUAGUUUAGAAGAACACAGAAGUAUUAAUUACCUAGAGAAAAAUGUUAUGAGCCAGUGACAGCUGAAAAGAACUGGAAGGAAAUGUUAAUCAUAGGGCAGAUUACAGCUGCAGUAAGUUGUCUGUACUGUUGAGUAGGAAUUUAUGCUACAAAUGCCUGCUGUCUUAAUGUAGGCCAAUAAAAAGAUGAAAUACCAUGAA